UUGUUUUUUUUUUAACUUUUAUGUCGUAUAUUUCUUAGUUGAUAACAAUAAUUCUCUGCUUUAUUUCUAUAAACUUUAGGCUUUGCAAGUAUGUAUCACGCACGAUUGAGUAAAUCUUACCAGCCCUCGCAAUAAAGGGGGAUUUUUAUUUUCAGAAUAAACUUAUGUCAUGGCUGUUAACAUUUAUAGUUUAGUGUUUGGGAAACUUUUAGUAAAAGUCAGAGGGAUAUACACGUGAAAAGCUAUUUGAUUUCACCCGCAGGUGCCUACGCAUGGACGAAAUGUUUACAAAAGCAUCAAACGGGUUCCGAGAAAUUCGGGCAGUUGGAGUUCAUGUUAAAAACGGCUUUCGGAUUUGUACCAAUGGAGUAUCUCAAGAUGUGAACAGCAGUCAUUUUAAGACAAGAUAUCAUCCCCCUUUUUUACCAGAAAGUGAAAGUAAACUACAGCCAAUAGAAGUUGGGAAAAAAUCAGCUGCAUGGAAAGCAGUAGAUCAUCAUGUGAUGGAUAACUUUAUUGUAGGAGUUGGAAGUGGAUCAACUGCUGUUUAUGCAAUGGAAAGAUUGGCUUUGAGAGUUAAAGAAGAAGGACUAAAGAUUUUGUGUGUUCCAACUUCAUUUCAGUCUAGACAGAUAGUGAAACAGCUAGGCUUAUCUCUGACUGAUUUGGAAGAACAUCCUCAGGUAGAUGUAGCCAUUGAUGGAGCUGAUGAAGUGGACUACAACAUGACCUUGAUCAAAGGAGGAGGAGGUUGCCUCACUCAAGAAAAAAUUGUUUCUUCUUGUUCCCAAAAUUUUAUUGUCAUUGCUGAUCAUAGGAAAGAUUCCAAAGAACUUGGACAAAAUUGGACAAAAGGGAUUCCAAUCGAAGUUAUUCCGAUGGCCUUUGUACCAGUUCAGAGACGACUUGAAAAGCUUGGUGGAACUCCUGUUCUUAGAAUGGCUAUAGCUAAAGCAGGUCCAGUGAUUACUGAUAAUGGUAACUUUAUUAUUGACUGGAAAUUUUCUGAGGUUAGAGAAUGGACAGUUAUAAACCAGACAAUCAAGAUGAUUCCAGGGGUUGUGGAGACUGGACUUUUUAUAGACAUGGCUAAGAGAGCUUACUUUGGACAAGAAGAUGGCAGUGUAAUAGAGAAAGAAAUUUCAAUGUGAUCUCAGAUUACAGUAAUAAAAACUGUUUGUUACAUAGCUAAUUAACUACAGACAUGACUCAUAAGAGGCAUCUGUAUAUGUGUGAGAGUGAUUAAUGUAUAAACCAUUUUAUGCUAUUUAAAGUUCAUUUCAGAAUGUAUUAAAGAUAUGAGUAAAGUAUGACUUUGUUUUUUUAUGAUAAACAUUUUAGACUGAAAAAAAAUAGUUCCACUUCAAUUGAAGAUUUAUUAUUUGUGAAACUGUAGAAUGUAGUUUACUGUAAAUUUAACUUGACUAGUGUUAACAAUUGUUGAAAAGAAGUAUUUAAUUAUUCGUUAUUGUUAUAAUGAGAUAUUAUACAAUUUUGAUAUAUAAAGGUUAACUUAAGGCAAUAUGAUCUGACAUAUUCUCAUUAAACUCACAAAUUUAGUGAAAUAUGAUGAGGCAUAUACUCUAAUACCUCCUUAUGAUUGAAGAAGUUACUCUUUUGAUGUAAAACAAUGUAUUAUUGGGGAAAAUAGUAGACUAUUCAGAAAAUGUCUUGAAGCAGAGGCAGAGCCUGAAUUAACUAAUUAAUUGCAUCAUGUGAUUAGUGGCUUAGGUUCAGCUUUAUCAGUAAGAUAUCGAAGUGCAUUACCUGUUAGAGAUGAGUGUUUACCUACUGUGUAAGACAAAAUCUAUAUUCAUUUACAAAAUAGUGGUCAUAAACAUAAAGUAAACAAUAUGAAUGUGUUGUUAUUGUAUUGUUUUCUACUAAGAUAUAUUGUGCAAAAAAUUAGGCCUAUUCCAGUUUACAGCUGAGUGUUAGGCUGCAGUACCUACCAACAUGGUAACUGCAAGGUGUAAACUGACAUCAGUGUAGAUUACUUUUUAUACUUUUGUCUACAGUUAAUAAUGAUAUUAGUCAAGUAUAAAUUUUAAUUAUUUCUUUUAUUAGUGAAAUUGUAAUUUAGAAAUAAAAAUACAUUACUUAUUACACACUGAUGUGUGAAGAGACCUACUUAAUGAAUUGUUAUAAACUAACUUAUUUAAUAGGAAUUGUCUUCUAAGUCUUUUGUAUCUAUUUUCAUGUACAAUUAAUCAGUAAUUAAUAUAUUACAACUGUAUUUUUUAUUUAGAUAGAUCUAGUAUAAAGUAUUGAUGUUUUGAGCACUCACUAAUUGAUUUAGUUUGUUUUUAUUCUUCACCUGCUUCCAUUGCUUACUUUGUGUAUUUUAAAUUAACCCUUUCUUUUUAUCUUCCUAUUUUGCAACUUCUUAGGAUACUGUCUCUGACCCAUAUUUCACAUAAAAACAUUUGUGCAUGUUCUCUUUCCUUUUUGUAGUUUGGAGGCAGAACCUAAAUGUCACAUGGUGAAAACACAAAAUAUGGUUCAAAGUAGCUUGUGAUUUGAGGUCAAAAUUUUCUGAGCAGUUCCAUUUCAGUAAUUAACACCUUCAUAACUAAAAUGAUUUGGUCCAUUACACUGCUAGUUGUGAGGCUUUCUAAUUACCAUUAAUAAUUAAAAGGUUGAUCUAAAGUUAAACUGUAGGUCCUUAAUAAACAUAUUGAAUUUAAAACCUACCUAUAAAUGCAAGGAAACAAAAUUAGUUUGUUUCUCUUGUGAAACUAAUUUUUUUUUGUGUGAAAUAGAGUGCUUAUAAAGUAUGUUUAGCAAUGUUUAAAUCAAACAAAACAUAAGAAAAUCCAGUUAUGAGUUUCUGUUAGACAUGUUUGAUAAUAUUUGUCUUUCAAUAAAAAAUAAAGCAUAGUUAAAAUGGUUAUAAUGAUUUUAUAAAAGUAUACAUCUUAGAACUCAGACAGUAUUGUCCCCUCUUAAGAUCUAAGUUUGGUUUCUUGAUACCUACUGUAGAUUAGAAAUGUAUGUGAGGGACCAAGGUAAAAAUAUUUAAACUUCUAUUUUUUUUUGCCAUCUCAGAAGUCUCGUAUCAUAAAACUUGUAUUUUGAUUUUUUUUGUAAUUUCAAAAGUCUCGUAUCAUAAAUAUUGUAUGAGAAACUGUGUGUAUUUAUCCAAAACAUCUCUCUCCAAGCUGCUAUUGUCAUGUGCAUUUUUUAUUUUCUCACUUAAACAUCUUAAUCUUUUUCUUUUUUGAGCUUAAUGUUGAUUUGGUUAUAGGAUGUAAAAUGUGAUUAUUAAAAGAAGUUAUGAAUGGAAUUUACAAUCACAUCUUGUACCUAGUGGCAUUGAUAGAAACAAUAUACACUGAUUGUUAGUGUAAAUAAAUCUAUUUCUGUUUGAUAAAAUCUUUGAAAUAUGCUGUACUUAUCAUCACCACGAGAGUGGAAAGACUUGAAAGCUUGAUUAAUUCUUUAUAUUUACUUACUUAAGUGGGUUAAACAUGGUUUGGAGAAUACCACUCUGAAAUAGACCAGAGUUUAAAUGUGAUAAAAUUAUAUUUAAAACUAGAUUUAAUUUGAGUGAUUGGUAUUCAAAUGUCUCCUUUUAUAUCCCACUCCCCUCGAACACUGUUCUAUACUCAUAUUCAGUGAUCAAAGUUCAUGUUCUGCUCUUUUGUUUGAGUUUUCAUAAUUGAAGAUUGUUGUUGUUGUGUGCUCAUCAUCUGGUUAAGAGCUGAUUUUCUUAAUUUAAUGACAAGAGAUUCUAGCAUCCAAGGUGGAAUUCUUCCUGCAGGUGGAGAGUGAUGCAGAAAAACUGGAGGUAGUUGGUAAUACUACUGGAGUUGUAGGUUUUAGUGGUACAGUGAGUGUUCUUUGAUUCAACUUCUAGUAUAAGGUUCAAAGUUAAAGUAUAUCUGGUAGCAUUUUUAUACCUAAAGCUGUUAAUUUGCUACUAGUUAUUUGAUGCAGUAGCAUUUGAGUGAUACCUUAAGUACAGCAUGUGUGAGUGCAUACUUUUUUUUUAAACACAGGUUUUAACAUUUAUAUAUAGUAGAAAGUUAUUGCUAAUAGAGCCUCCUGAUUUCUGCUCCCAACAACCCUAAAAUUAAAAUUAGGGAGCUAAAUAUUACUUAUCUUAAACAGAAGUAAGAAAUGAAAUCUUGAGAAAUGCAUUGAAUUCUGUGUUGUAUGUUUAUUUUUUGUAAUGCAUCCUACUACCUUAACUCUUUUUAUUUUAACAAGUAAAAUGCACUUUUAGGAAAAGUGCUACAAACCAUGUUAUGUACUUUCAAGCACAUGCAAGAUAUAAAUGACAGAAUAUUUUAUAAAAUGUAACCAGCAUUUUAACUUGACCAGUUUCCAAUAUUGGACUGAUAUAUUUUACUACAUGCUGUAAAAGUUGCAUCAGUAUAAUUCCUUAAAAUUGUAUGAAAUUAAAAUGGUUGAUAAAAUUUUGAAAUAAUGGCUAAAGGAAAGGAGUGAAAAUGCAGAAUAGGGGUUUAAUAUAUGAAUAUUACAUCAAUUAAAACACUAUAGCUAUUGAUUAAUUUGUAGAUAUUUAUGAGUAUGUGUAGUUUAAUAUAACACAAUGUUGCACAAAUCUUUUAAAUUUAGUGGUACUGUACCACAAUGAGGUUUUUUCUUUUGUUUUCUAAGUAGCUCAGUUGUGAUUGUAAGGCAAACAAGAUUCAUGGAAACUGGAACAUUUUCAGGCAAAACAGAACUUAGUACUAAAACCAAAUUAGCAGAGGUUCUAAGAAUUGUGCUCAGAAUGUGAAACUUGACCAGAAGAAACAAACUGAAAGAACAACAAAAAUCUCUAUUCCUGCUGGUGUUCGUCUUCUCUGUGAAACAGCAACAAAGUAGAACUUGCAGCUUCAGCUUCAUGAUUGACAUUUUAUACAGUCCUAAACUUCACGAUGCUGAGUGACAAGUACAUAUUAUUGGAUCAAUCCUUCAGAUAAAUAAAUGAAGAUAAGGGUUCUUUAGCAACCUAAUCUUCCCAAAUGACCACUAUGUUAUUGAAGGCUAGUUCAAUAACUUAAUUGUUCAAUGAUAUGAUUAAUGCAAUUUAAGAUUGGGAUUAUCUGUUCAUAUAGAAUAUCUAAUUUAGUACAGAUAUCUGUACUGUAUUUUUAAUAAUAUUACUUGAGUAAAGAUGUGUUCAGUUUU
rnacentral:misc_RNA from 1 species